GUCCCCAUCGUCUAUCGGCUAGGACGGCACCCUUUCAAGGUGCAGAGGCGGGUUCGAUUCCCGCUGGGGGCACCA
rnacentral:tRNA from 1 species